GAUGAAGAACGCAGCGAAAUGCGAUAAGUAAUGCGAAUUGCAGAAUUUCCGUGAGUCAUCGAAUCUUUGAACGCACAUUGCGCCCACUGGUAUUCCGGUGGGCAUGCCUGUUCGAGCGUCAUUAUCCUCCCUCAAACCCCGGGUUUGGUGUUGGACCCAAGUUGUGUGAACAACUGGUCUCAAAGACAAUGACGGCGUCCGUGGGACCCUCGGUGCAACGAGCUUUUAGGAGCACGCAUCGAGUUGCAAGGACCUUCCGGGCCGGUCUCCUUUACCAUUUUACAAGGUUGACCUCGGAUCAGGUAGGUAUACCCGCUGAACUUAAGCAUAUCAAUAAGCGGAGGA
rnacentral:misc_RNA from 1 species